CAUGAGACGCUGGGAAAUUUCUGUAAAGUAUGAAAAACCUCUUCUCUUCUGCUGCCAUCGAGUCUGAAGUGAUGGAAAGCUUUGCAUUAAGAAGAACAGCGCCAAGUUCUCAGGUUGACAAUGGUUUCUACCAAUUAGACCUGAAAAGGAUACAACUGACUUAAAGGUCGUGAGCUUUUAAACGAGAUGUUCUGCAGAACGGACAAUGUUGACAUGACAUUAUGGAGACACAUCAUGACUGGAGAGCAUUUUGUCACAAUGGUGAUGUGUGAACUUCAGAAGAGUUGGAUCCCAAGUUUGAACAUGCUGCCAAGAAUGUGGCUUCCUUUUUAGAGUAUCCAGAUGUCUCAUGUCUGGAGAAAUGGGCUUUUCAAAUUGUUUAUUUGUUGGUUUAUAUCAGGACAAGAAAGAGUACAUUGCCUUCUUGAAUCUAAUUCAAGUCACUUCCAGAGUCUGAGAAACAUGCCAUACCUUCAGACACUUAUUUUUAUCUGCUCUGUAGCUGACUUUUAUUGACCGGAUCAAAGCUAGACUUAUUUUAAAAGAAUAAGCAAAAAUAAAACCAGAAGUCUCCUUAUGUUAAGCCAAGUCAAAGGUUUAAGGUCAUUUCACAAAAACAUUAGGGGAUGAAAUAAAAGAGGGGAUAUCAUCUGAAGCUUUUAUAACCUUGAUGCUUCACCAUAAGCACCAAAGGAAAUCAAGCAGAAUCUUCAUGGCUUUUCUCCAUCGUGUGCAUGUGUUGAUUCUGCCUCAGGAAUCUGUAGACAACUGUCUUCGUAUGCAGAUUCCAGCAAUGACCAUCAGUAAUGGCAAUGGAAUUUCCAAGCUUUGGGGACUGCAAGAGAGGCAUUUAAGGUGUAGAAGACAACUCCGACCCCACAUUGAUCAUGGAUGUUCUGCUUCUAAAGAUGAGUGA
rnacentral:lncRNA from 1 species